GACGAACGCUGGCGGCGUGCUUAACACAUGCAAGUCGUACGGUAAGGCCCUUUCAGGGGUCCACGAGUGGCGAACGGGUGAGUACCCGUGAGUAAACCGGCCCCCACUUUGGGAUAACGGCAGGAAAAUUGGGCUAAAUCUGGAUAUGUGCUCCCUCUGCCUGGGGGGGGUUUGAAAGCCCCGGCGGUUGUGGAUGGACUCGCGGCCCAUUAGCUUGUUGGUGGGGUAGUGGCCUACCAAGGCGGCGACGGGUAGCCGGCCUGAGAGGGUGACCGGCCACAUUGGGACUGAGAUACGGCCCAGACUCCUACGGGAGGCAGCAGUGGGGAAUAUUGCACAAUGGGCGCAAGCCUGAUGCAGCAACGCCGCGUGCGGGAUGACGGCCUUCGGGUUGUAAACCGCUUUCAGCAGGGACGAAGCUUUUUGUGACGGUACCUGCAGAAGAAGCACCGGCUAACUACGUG
rnacentral:rRNA from 1 species